rfam:Gossypium raimondii Chr08_contig_59, whole genome shotgun sequence.
AAUAAGUAAAUAACAAAUCAGAUUUUUUUCCUGAUUUUUAACUGUUUUCUCCUGAAAAAAUUCAAAUCUAACUAAAAAUGCUAAAAAUCAGGAGGAAAAUUUUGAUUUGUCGUCAUCCACCUAUU